UCGAUCUUCAGCCCUGCUCCUAUGGAAUUUAUGAGUAAUUCCGGUGGGAUGAUGAGCCAUGUCAGCGAGGAUUGUAGUGUGAUACCGCACGAGAAGCAUACUUUUCAUGAAGUGAAAGAGCAAAUGAGAAAGAAGGAAAGAAGACAAAGAUUUGACUAUGCAAUUGUUGGUUGUGGCAUGUUUGUCCCUUGCAGCCAAAAUGGAGGAGAUUAAUGUCCCAAUCUCCCUUGAUUUACAGAUUUGAGCUGUCAACUGGUGGCCGAGUCAAAAUAUGUAUUUGAGGUAAGCAGUUACUCCAUUCUCAUUGAUAUAUUCCUUCCUCCUUAAACUCAAUGAGGACGAAAUCCCACUUAAAGCUUCAAUCUUUAGAGCAGUUCAACUCAUUUUGAGCAAAACCAAUGGUACCCAAUUUUCCUUC